AUACGUAGGGGGCAAGCGUUAUCCGGAUUUACUGGGUGUAAAGGGAGCGUAGAAGGUAAAGCAAGUCUGAAGUGAAAGCUCGGGGCUCAACCCCGGAACUGCUUUGGAAACUGUUUUACUGGAGUGCAGGAGAGGUAAGCGGAAUUUCUAGUGUAGCGGUGAAAUGCGUAGAUAUUAGGAGGAACACCAGAGGCGAAGGCGGCUUACUGGACUGUAACUGACGUUGAGGCUCGAAGGCGUGGGGAGCAAACAGGAUUAGAUACCCUGGUAGUCCACGCGGUAAACGAUGAUCACUAGGUGUCGGCGGCCAUAGGCGGUCGGUGCCGCAGCAAACGCAAUAAGUGAUCCACCUGGGGAGUACGUUCGCAAGAAUGAAACUCAAAUGAAUUGACGGGG
rnacentral:rRNA from 1 species